UUUUUUUCCUGCUUGGCUUGUUUUGACACGAGGAAGAAGCUAAUCCUCCUGGCAAAGGUGGCUCAUACAGCAGGGCAGCAGUCCCCUCCCUGAAGCAGUGGGGGCAGCCGGCUCCAACAGCGAGAAACCGGAUCUCAGAGUCCGGCUGGUCAGCAGCUGACCUCUCUGCUCUGACCUCUGGUGGCUCCUACACACCCCCCGGGGCCGACUUCCCUGAGGCGUACAAGCUCUGGAGGCAGACGGGUUCAAUGUCCACUUCCACCUGUUACUGGCCGAGUGAUUGCAGAAAGAGACCAUGUCUCUCUGUGACUCAGUUUCCUCAGCUGUCAAACAAUCCCACAAUUAUUCCAGAGUCACGGGGAGGCUUAAAUGAGCGAAUGCAAAGCAAACACUUAGCACCACACCUGGAACAGAGUAAAUACUUGAUAAAUUUAGCUGUCACUAUUACUUUAUUUUUUGUAGAUAGGCCCUCGUUUUAAAACCCAAUCUCUUAGGUGCCAGGCCAGACCAGACUGGAUGCUACGGUAACCUGCUGGGGGCUCAGUAAAGACUGGUGCCAGAGAUGGCACAGGCACAGUCCUGCAGAGAUCCAAAGCCUCCCUCGGGGUCCUGGCUUCCUUCUCAGCAUCUCAGGGCUAGAGGCAGGUAGGGAGAUACUUCCCGCUUCCCAGCUCUGCCAGGAAAACCUGGGCUCAGAAGCAGGUAAGGACUUUGGCCUCUCCUGCCUCCCGCCCUCUGCCUUGGUUCCUGUGCCUGGUGGUGGGGGCGGGGGGACAGCUGACCGGUACCCAGUCAGAGGAUGCAUGUUCACACGUUCUGGGAUCCUCCAUUUAUGUCUGGGGGGAAGGCUCCAGGCAUCUUCCUUGAGAUAAACAGCCUCCAGGCCUCCUGGGUUUAGAGGAGUUAGCUGGAUGUUAUCAUUGAAAACCACUUCUGAAUAUUUCCUUGCAAUCUGGGGCCAGCCUUGUGGGUGUAUAUAAGAAGGUACCAAACUGCUUUUUCAGAGGGGGCGCUGGAUGAGAACACGGCCUUUCGUCUGGCCCCAAGGCAGAACAGUGGCAGCUCAGCAUUGGCGUGGAAGCUGCUGGGACGAAGAUGGCAGACGCGGUGUCUGCAUCCUCAGUCUUCAGCCCAACAUCUCCCCAGGUUCUGCAGGAAGGAAGGUCUGAAGGACUCAGGUGAGUCUAAGGACAGCCCCGGUCCAAGUCUUACUUUUUAGAUUUCAACCUGUUUGUCCUCACGCUCCAGCAUCUAGUGCCAGGCAUUGAGGUGCCUUGUUAGCACAGCAGGUAGCGUGUCAGUCUCAGAGUGCCAGGCAUGGCUCUCCGCUGGAGCUCAGUGACCAGCAAUUACACAAAACUGAGGAAGAGCUGCACUCCCAUUUGAGCCAGGUGUGUCUGGCACACGCAAGUCUUUACACAUACCAGUGUCCAUGAUAAAACAUAUGCCCCUGUGCUCACAGGGUAGCGGGGUGGCCCUAUGGAUGGGUGGACAGUAAUCACACACACGACUGCAAAGCGACGCUAGACGGAGGGCUUCGAUGUGGUUCACUCGAGCUUCCCAUGGCCACCUCUCAGUCAACCACAUCUUCCGCCUUCCCCGCACAUCCUCUGCCUCCUGGACCCGGCUUCCUUGCCGUCCCCAGGCGCGCCCCCACUCUUUCCACCAAGCUCUUUUUCUCACUGCUCAUCCAUGUGGGGUGCCCGUCCCUCUUCUCUGCACUGUUCCAUAUUCAGACCCCAACCAUAUUUCAAGGCCCCGCUCAAGUUUAAGACGUCCACGGAGUCUGUGCUUCAUGCAUCCUUCUCUGUUGCUGCUGCUGCUGCACCUGCUGCAACUCUGGCUGGAGUCCUCACUGUGGCACAGCAGAAACGAAUCUGACUAGUAUCCAUGAGGACGCAGGUUCGAUCCACGGCCUUGCUCAGUGGGUUAAGGAUCCGGUGUUGCCAUGAGCUGGGGUGUAGGUCACAGACAUGGCUUGGAUCUGGUGUGACUGUGGCAUAGGCCAGCGGCUGCAGCUCUGAUUCAACCCCCGACCUAGGAGCCUCCAUGUGCCUCAGGUGUGGCCCUAAAAGGACAAAAAGAAAAAAAAAAGAAAGAAAGAAAGAAAGAAAGAAAGAAAGAAAAAUAGCUCUGGCUGUUUCAGGUGUGCUUCCCUGAUCUCAUGUUCUGGCCUGUGCUUCUACCACCGCGCUACAGAAACCUUUUUCCAAGGUCAACAAUGACGUCAGACAGAGCUGAGUUUGCCUUGUCUCCAUCAGUACUUGCCAAUUCGUGUUCCUUCCUCAGACCCUAUCCUUCCUGACUUGGGUGGCACCCCUCGUAAAAAGCCCUCUCCCGUUUUUAAGUCCAUGGCACUUGGCACUUUCCCGAGACCCCUUUCCUGCUCUUUCAUGGCUCUGCUCCCACCCGUGCUGCGCCCGGGCCUGGGCUCCCAUCUCCCAGCCCCCGUACCCUGGGAGUACCUUCUCAUCGCUGCCUUCAUCCCUCACCUCACCUGUGGUCCUGAGUCAGCCUGGAACACCUGUUGGAUAGCCCAUCUGGGGAGCCCACUGUCCGUUUAUGUUCACAAAAAUUAAAACUCAUUCAACCAUUAUUUGUUGAGCACAUAGUAGGGCCAAGAUUUACUCUAGCCUUAGUAAGCAAACCAUAUGGAAGUGCUUGCCUCAAGUGUCCAUCAGUAGACAUGACAAAUGAAAGGAUAAAUGAGAUGUGGUACAUCCACACAAGGGGGGAGGUAUCCCGGCUCUAGAGGAAGGAAAUUCUGACCCACGCUCUAGCAUGGAAAAACCUAAUGACAUCAUGUUAAGUGAAGGAAGCCAGCUGCAAAAGGCAAAGGUUGUGUGCCUCUACUUUUAUCGAGUGCCUCGAGUAAGAGAAAGCAGACAGGUGUAUGCCAGGGACUGGAAGGGGAAGGUGGGGAAUUCUUCUGUAGUGGGUACAGUUUCCGUUCUUCAAGGUGAAAAGAAUUCUGAAGAUGGACGGUCAUGAUGGUUGCACAAGAAUAUGAAGGUACUUAAAACCAACGAACCACAUACUUAAAAAUGGUUAAGAUGGUAAAUUUUAUACUACACAUAUUUGCCACAGCAAAAAAAAAAAAAAAAAAAAAAGGUGUGGGGGGAAGUCCUUGCUCUCUGUGUGCUUUUCUGCACGUUAUGCCUCAGUAACAAUGAAAAAGGCUCGGUCUUCCUGGAACUUUCAUUGUGGACUCGAGACUGCAGUCAUUACCCAGGCAGCUUCCUUCCCGCUGUCCUGUCACCGGAACCGCCAUCCCCCCAGGCCUCGUACCACUGUCCCUCAAUCCCUCCUUCUCCCCCCACAUCCAGGGGCUCUCCGUCCUUCUUCUUCAAGGCUUCAGGUCCCUCCUCCUUCCCAGCAUCCCUCCAUUUGUGAUGGAAAACAUGCGGAGGCAGGAAGCUGUCUGCAGAGCCUGGUUCCAAGGCUGGCCCUGCCCCUGGCUCCGAGGAACCUCACACUUAAGCUUUCAUUUCCUCGCCCGUUCAAUGAGGAGUUUGACGCGAUGUUCAGGACGGCUCCUUCUGGCUCCAGCACAGGCUGCUCUCUGGCUCACCCCACCCAGCCUGGCCCGAGGUCUGGCGUAUUCCUCGCAGGCCCUCAGCGGCCGGAGAAGAAAGGCCUCUUUGAGGAGGAAGCUGGCCGGCCGGGGCGAUGGCUCCCUGCAAGCACUCCCUGGCUCUCUUUCCUGCCUGCCUGAACUUUUACUGCUUGCAACCUUGUGACUCCGGAUUACCUGACCUUGAAUCCUGCCAGCCCUGCAUGGCUGCUGGGACCUCUUCUGACCUGACUGCCUGUAACUGGGACAGCCCUGCCUGCUGCCACUGGACCCUGUCCUGCUUCCACAAACCGAGCUGCCCGUGGCCGUGCGACCACGAUGCUGAGAGCUGGACUCCGCAUUCUCCAGGGUCCCUACUCAUGUGCCCGUCUUGGCCCUGGGCUCUGCAGCAUCCUCUGAAGGCAUCCCUUUUGCCAGCAAGGUUUACACCUGUGAUGGAGUCAUUCACUCCCCAAAUGUCCACCGUGGUGUCUACCUGUGGCAGGCACUGCUCUGGGCAAGAGACAAAGCAGGAUGCAGCACGGCUGCUUCUGCCAACAACACAGCCCAUCGCCAGAACAAGCUUCCCGACUCAAAAACGAUGUCAUCCAACUCGUCACUGUCAAACCCUUUCACCUGAGAGGUAUUAACUGAGCACCUACUAUGCGCCAGGCACCAUUCCAGGCAUUCUAAUAAAAUACCGAUUUACGAACUGCAAUUUUCUAGGCAGUACAACUGAUUACAGAGCACGAGCUCUGCAGUCAAAGUCCCAGUUACGUCACCUUUGGUGAGAACAAAACCUCUCUGAGACUCGGUUUCCUCGCUUGAAAAUGCGGGUUAAUAGCAGUGACUGAUUGAUAAGCGUGUAUGAGGAAUAGAUGAGACCGUCCAUGCAAAAGCUCGAACAGUAUGUGGCACGUGGCAAGAACCUGGAUAUGAACAGGUUUUAUUUUUAUGCAACUUCAAAGGUGCCAGCACCUAAACACACCAAGAAUGUCAAGAGUCCCUGUCUCCCCCUCCACACCCGAUACCUCAAUAGUGCCUUGAUACACAAGGAGCGACAGAAGGUAGCCCUGCCUUUGACGUCGCUUCCGAAGAAUAAAAGCCCUCUGUGCAAAGUACUGUAUGUAUUCCCAAUGCUUUUAUGUGGAUUUUACCAAAAUCUCAGGGGCAUCACUAACGGUAUGGGCACCAAAAGCUGUGGAAGGGAAAAAAAAAAUCUGUGGCAUGCAUAGAGUUAACAAUAUAGGAAGCGCUAUCUACAAACCAUUAAGAAAAAAGACAGGCAGUCCCAGAGAAAAAUGAGUGAAAGUCUUGAGCAGGCACUUCACAAAAGAGGCUACCCAAACGGCCAGGAUCGUGGAAAGGCAAAGGCAGAUCAUAGCACAGGGUUUACUUCAUACCCGUGAGAAUGAGUCCAAUGAAGAAAGAAGGUAGCGGCAAACGCUGGCAAAGGCAUGGCGCAACCAGAGCUUUUCCUGAUUCGCUCGUGGAAGUGCAACCAGUACUGCUGCUUUGGCGCUCUCUGCUAAAACUACGAUCUAGCAGUUCCAGUCCCAGGGACAGAACCAACAGAAACACACACACACCCCCCAAUCAGGCAUGCAUACAUACAUAAAGACACAGGCGCGUCUGUGCAUACAUUCACUCACACAUAUUCAUAGGAGCACCGUCUGAAACAGCCAAAAUCUGCACACCUUCCAAACAUUUAACAACCAAACCACGGAUGCUAACUGUGUGCUGUUAAUAACACGGAAGACCGCCCGGCCGCCAGGAUGGAAAACCACGAGGGCACACAGCACGGAUGGAUGUCACGGCCACGAUGACAAGGGGAAGAGGCCAAACACACAAGAGAACAAACACACUGUGUGAUUCCAUUUAUAUAAAGCUGAAACGUAGGCAAAACGCAUCUGUAAUUUUAGCAGUCAAAAGAAUGGUUACCCUCGGAAGGGCGGUCCGUAACAGGAGAGAAGCCCAUGGCAUAUUCUGGAACGGGGUCUGGUAUGUUCUGCUCCUUUGCUUGAUGGGGGUGCUGGUUACAGGCUGUGUGCAUUCUAUGCCCAAUACUUAGGAUCUGCUCACUUUUCUGUACGUGUGUCCUAAUGCCAAUUACAAUUU
rnacentral:lncRNA from 1 species